AUACGGAGGGUGCAAGCGUUAUUCGGAAUCACUGGGCGUAAAGGACGCGUAGGCGGGUUGGCAAGUCAGAUGUGAAAUCCUACAGCUUAACUGUAGAACUGCAUUUGAAACUGCUAACCUAGAGUACGGGAGGGGGAGAUGGAAUUAGUGGUGUAGGGGUAAAAUCCGUAGAUAUCACUAGGAAUACCGAAAGCGAAGGCGAUCUCCUGGAACAUAACUGACGCUAAGCCGUGAAAGCGUGGGGAGCAAACAGGAUUAGAAACCCCAGUAGUCC
rnacentral:rRNA from 1 species